rnacentral:tRNA from 1 species
GAGGGUAUAGCUCAGUGGUAUAUUGCCUGCUUAGCUUGCAUGAGGUCCUGGGUUCAAUUCCCAGUACCUCCA